rnacentral:rRNA from 1 species
ACCCCUAAGGCGAGGCCGAAAGGCGUAGUCGAUGGGAAACAGGUUAAUAUUCCUGUACUUGGUGUUACUGCGAAGGGGGGACGGAGAAGGCUAUGUUGGCCGGGCGACGGUUGUCCCGGUUUAAGCGUGUAGGCUGGUUUUCCAGGCAAAUCCGGAAAAUCAAGGCUGAGGCGUGAUGACGAGGCACUACGGUGCUGAAGCAACAAAUGCCCUGCUUCCAGGAAAAGCCUCUAAGCAUCAGGUAACAUCAAAUCGUACCCCAAACCGACACAGGUGGUCAGGUAGAGAAUACCAAGGCGCUUGAGAGAACUCGGGUGAAGGAACUAGGCAAAAUGGUGCCGUAACUUCGGGAGAAGGCACGC